AGUAUGUUUACUAGAGUAGCAUCCCGAGGCUGGAAGACUUGACCAAUUCCUUCAGUCUCUCUCACGACUGACUAAUCAGCUGAAGUGCUACUAAAUCGGCCCUUCGUCCGCGUUUACCAAACUUCAUUUCCCCUCUUCCAAGCCCUAAUAAAGAUGCCCAAUCUUCCGCAGGAGCUCAUCACCGACAUCCUCACCCGGCUGCCGGUCAAGUCCCUCCUGAGAUUCAGGUGCGUAUCGAAACCAUGGUGCAGCGUGAUUGAUAGCCGUAGUUUCAUCAAAAUGCAUCUGCUUCAGUCCAAAAAGACUGGCUCAAAUUUGUUCCUCAUGCUUGGAUUCUUGGGGAUUUAUUCUGUUGAGUUGGAUUCUCUCGACGCUGCCAAUAGGCUUCGCCCGCCAUACUCCGCCUCAGAUGUAUCCAACUCUUGCAAUGGCUUAAUCCUUGUUUUGGCUAAAAUCCCUUUUAUUUGGAACCCCUUCACUAGAAAGUACAGGGAAUUACCGGCUACUCCGGUCGAACAACCGGUUGAUUUUGAGGUUGGUUCUGCUUAUGUGACUUAUGGGUUUGCUUAUGAUGCUGUGAAUGAUGAUUAUAGAGUGGUCAGGGUUGAGGAGUUUAGAGGCUUUGAUUCGGAGUGGAUUAGGUCUGAGGCGAAGCUUUAUAGUUCUAAGUCGGAUAAGUGGCGAAAGAUAAAAAAUUUCCCUUAUCAGCUUCCUUAUAAGAGGGCCUGGGGUGCUCAUUUGAAUGGUGUUUUGCAUACGGGAGUGAGAACAGGGGAUCUUGGUUACUUCGACUCGUCGAUUUGGGCUUUUGAUGUUCGGACUGAGCAGCAUUAUACCUUGCCAAAACCGGAUUUUACAGGUACUGAUCUUGAGUUCACUGUGGAGGUCUUGGGUGGUUGUCUGUGUUUGGUUCGUCCUCGAAAGAGGUAUCGAACGGAUGUAUGGAUAAUGAAGGAAUAUGGAGUGAAAGAAUCUUGGACUAAAUUGCUAACAAUCGCUCCUCCACUCGUUGAGCGGUAUAUUACCAUUGGCCCGUUGGCUUAUUCAAGGAACGGUGAAGAGGUUCUCUUGAACCACGACGAUAAACAACUUAUUUGGUAUGAUUUGAGAAGGAAGACUGUUAGGAAUGUCUCUGUUGAUGGUUUGCCAUUUGUCUUUUAUGCUGAGGUAUGUGUUGCAAGCCUCAUUCAGCCUGAUGUCUCCGGAGAAGGGGAUGAAACUGAGGAGCUACGCCAGCAGGAGAAAAGUAGAGUGAAAAAAAGGUCUGGUUUUUCUCCCCACUGGGUUGAUUUCCUGUCAGAGGGAUUUAAACUGGUGCUAUGAAAAAAUUGGCAGCAACUGGAGCGAACUAAGCUGGGACAUGCUAUGGUAAAAUGUUGGUGAUUCUAAACUAAGAAGUUAGGUUGUGUUGCAAGGUGAAAUGAUCAUUGAUUUAUGAUGAUCAUCUGGAAGGCAGUUUGAUGGAAUGAUCUUUGUGAUAUUUGUGGUGACUGGACAGAGCAGGUUGUAUAAUUAGAGCUUUAAAGAAAUCUGCAACAUGGCUUCACUUGGCAUCAACGUUAUCAGAGUCCCACUGUGGUAUACCUGAACGAAGAAGAACCAAGACUUGAGGAAGCUGGUAAGGGAGAGCCCACACCGGAAAAUGAUGUUGGAAUCGAAGUCUCGAGUUUUGACUCUUGCCAAGGGAAAGAUGUUAGGUAUAUAUAAUUAUUGUUGUGUAUCACACGUUGCACUGUACACCAUAUACUCUACGGAGGCAAUGCAAUGUGGCGUGAUGGUGCGAUUUUUCCACCAUCUCUAGCAAAUGGUAGUGGAUCACUUCUUUGGUAAAUUAUGAUGAUUUUCAAAACAAUCAUAAUCCGAAGUUUGAAGAAACGACCUACUAUCAUUAUCUU